UCCCUGGUGGUCCAGCUGUUAAGACUCUUGCCCUUCGAAUGCAGAGGGCAUGGGUUCGAUCCCUAGUCAGGGAA
rnacentral:tRNA from 1 species